rnacentral:rRNA from 1 species
GACGAACGCUGGCGGCGUGCUUAACACAUGCAAGUCGAACGGAAAGGCCCUGCUUUUGUUGGGUGCUCGAGUGGCGAACGGGUGAGUAACACGUGAGUAACCUGCCCUUGACUUUGGGAUAACUUCAGGAAACUGGGGCUAAUACCGGAUAGGAGCUCCUGCUGCAUGGUGGGGGUUGGAAAGUUUCGGCGGUUGGGGAUGGACUCGCGGCUUGUCAGCUUGUUGGUGUGGUAGUGGCUUACCAAGGCUUUGACGGGUAGCCGGCCUGAGAGGGUGACCGGCCACAUUGGGCCUGGAAUACGGCCCAGACUCCUACGGGAGGCAGCAGUGGGGAAUAUUGCACCAUGGGCGGAAGCCUGAUGCAGCAACGCCGCGUGCGGGAUGACGGCCUUCGGGUUGUAAACCGCUUUCGCCUGUGACGAAGCGUGAGUGACGGUAAUGGGUAGAGAAGCACCGGCUAACUACGUG